GUGGUUUGACAUGAGUUGUAGUGGAGGUGUUGUCGUUAGAUGACAAUGACUCAUUUGGUUGAAGAUUAAGCUUAAGAUCAAUGGUUUCAGAGAAGCCUCGUUUUCCAGUGGUUUUCAACAUCUCCGCCUCGUUGCCACCACUGCCUCCACCGCCGCCACCAGGUAAGCCAAGGCAGAGCUCAGUCUCCUUUAGGUUCAUCAUGGCUCAAACAAGACUUGUUCAGCACUAGUUGUUGGUGAUUGUGUUGUCGAAUGGCUUUGUUUCUAAUUGGUGUGAGAUAAAAGAGAGAGAAAAU
rnacentral:lncRNA from 1 species